rnacentral:rRNA from 1 species
UACAGAGGUCUCAAGCGUUGUUCGGAUUCAUUGGGCGUAAAGGGUGCGUAGGUGGAGCUGUAAGUCGGGUGUGAAAUUUCGGAGCUUAACUCCGAAACUGCAUUCGAUACUGCGGUGCUUGAGGACUGGAGAGGAGACUGGAAUUCAUGGUGUAGCAGUGAAAUGCGUAGAGAUCAUGAGGAAGACCAGUGGCGAAGGCGGGUCUCUGGACAGUUCCUGACACUGAGGCACGAAGGCCAGGGGAGCAAACGGG